AUGUUGACAGGGGCGGAUCUAUAGCAUUUUAGGGGGUUCCCAGGAACCCGUUCAGUUCGUAUCUUAUAGUGUUAAAUCAUUAAGAAACUUCUAAAGGAACCCUUUAAUAUUUUGAAAGGGAACCUUAUAAAUAAAGUUAUGGAUUGGUCUGGCGGUAACUAUGCGCGCUGCCUAACCUAGAGAUCCCGAGUUCGAGUCGGGUAAAUACCUUUUUUCUCGUUUUUUUUAAACUCAAAAAACAUUAGGGUUUAGUUUUCCCCUUUUCUGUUUACCCUCAAACCCAAACACGAACAGAACACACACUAAACACAGCGGCCGCUCCAGAUCAGUCCUACCACUCAUCCAAUCGUCACAAAAGCACUUGCCAGAGCCACUCCAGCCUCAACGGCUCAGUCACGUAGCCCCUCCGGCCUUCCCUCAGUCCCUCACUUACUCACUCUCUUCGGCCCUUCACUCCUCCAGGUGUGCGAGUACGCAAGUGUGUAGGUGUGUUAGCUUGAUGGUAUGAAGAAAAUGGAUUAGCCCGACAUUAUGCACAAUUGUUAGAUGAUCGGUACAUGUACUAGAUUUUUGUUUAUAAAAAAAUAAUACAGGCUGCUUAUGAGAUGAAUGUUACCCGACCCGAACCGUCGAACCGACCCGAAUUUUUUUAUGUUCGGACAUGUGAAUUUGGAGCAUUAAAAAAAGUGAACCCCUUGGAAAAAAUUUCUGGAUCCGCCACUGGAUGUUGAUCAUGUUGAUGAUAUGAGAUGUUGAGUUUGUGUUAUUAGUGUUAGUGAGUUCGAAGUUUUGGAUGGAGACGGUGCGGAUGCGGAGGUGAGGGUUAUCGACGCGGAGAAAUACGGAUGCGAAGAUCAGGAAGAUGGUGCUGAUGAAGACGAUGGUGGCCAGUAUGUAUACGAGAGACUUGUUGGUUUUUUGGUGCUUUGGUUUGGUGAAUGGUGUGAUGGUUGUGUAGGGUUGUCCGUCGCUCUUUACGCCGGCUGGUGCGAUCGGGAUCAUUUGGUUCUCUGCGUCGGCCAUGUGUGUUUGUGUGUGUUUGUGUGUGUGUGAUUUCAGGUGUGAAAUAUUUGUAUGAAGGUGUGUGUAUAUGAGAAGAAGAUGAUGAGGAAUGCCGGCAUUAAAUGGAUUUCAUAUGAUAUACCACUAUGUAAAGUUUCAUAUUAACCCUUUUGUUUUAAUAAUGUGUGUAUAAGACUUUAA